rnacentral:tRNA from 1 species
GUCAGGAUGGCCGAGCAGCCCAAGGCGCUGUGUUCAGGCCGCAAUCUACUCUGUAGGCGUGGGUUCGAAUUCCACUUCUGACA